UACGUAGGGGGCGAGCGUUGUCCGGAAUCAUUGGGCGUAAAGAGCGUGUAGGCGGCCCGAUAAGUCCGCUGUGAAAGUCCAGGGCUCAACCCUGGAAUGCCGGUGGAUACUGUCGGGCUCGAAUCCGGAAGAGGUGAGUGGAAUUCCUGGUGUAGCGGUGAAAUGCGUAGAUAUCUGGAGGAACACCGGUGGCGAAGGCGGCAUCCUGGACCGGCAUUGACGCUGAGGCGCGAAAGCCAGGGGAGCAAACGGG
rnacentral:rRNA from 1 species